rnacentral:tRNA from 1 species
GCGAGCGUGAUUCAAUGGUAGAAUACUAGCUUCCCAAGCUAGAUACGGGGGUUCGAUUCCCCUCGCUCGCUCCA